GGUGGUUCUCAGGUGAUGCACCCAGAACCAGAGAGGAGGGAGCCUGAUUCCGGGGUGCAUCACCUGAGAACCGCC
rfam:Myotis davidii contig230104, whole genome shotgun sequence.